rnacentral:rRNA from 1 species
CGACCGGCGCACGGGUGAGUAACACGUAUCCAGCCUGCCGAUAACUCGGGGAUAGCCUUUCGAAAGAAAGAUUAAUAUCCGAUAGGAUAUCAAGGUCGCAUGAUCUUGAUAUUAAAGAAUUUCGGUUAUCGAUGGGGAUGCGUUCCAUUAGUUAGUUGGCGGGGUAACGGCCCACCAAGACGACGAUGGAUAGGGGUUCUGAGAGGAAGGUCCCCCACAUUGGAACUGAGACACGGUCCAAACUCCUACGGGAGGCAGCAG